rnacentral:tRNA from 1 species
UGUGGUGUAGCUCAGUGGUAGAGCACUUGCUAAUAUGCAUGAAGUCCUGGAUUUGAUCCCCAGCACUGCAA